GCUUCUGUGGCUCAGUUGGUUAGAGCACCAGUCUCAUAAUCUGGGGGCCGCCAGUUCAAGUCUGGCCAGGAGCA